rnacentral:rRNA from 1 species
CUGUAAGCCGUUGAAGGUGGCCUGUGAGGGUUGCUGGAGGUAUCAGAAGUGCGAAUGCUGACAUAAGUAACGAUAAAGCGGGUGAAAAGCCCGCUCGCCGGAAGACCAAGGGUUCCUGUCCAACGUUAAUCGGGGCAGGGUGAGUCGACCCCUAAGGCGAGGCCGAAAGGCGUAGUCGAUGGGAAACAGGUUAAUAUUCCUGUACUUGGUGUUACUGCGAAGGGGGGACGGAGAAGGCUAUGUUAGCCGGGCGACGGUUGUCCCGGUUUAAGCAUGUAGGCGGAGGUUC